AAUGUGAACCUCAUCAGCUGUGGACCUGAAUAAGACACUGGGAUAAGCUGCCUCUUAACUCUGAGCCAGUCUUCCCAGAACAGUGGUGGUAAAGGAGGAUGCCCCUGACACACCAGAAGAGAAGCUGUGCUUGGCUGCAGAGUGAGUCAGCCCUUCUCAAGAUAAAUGUGCAAGAUAGGUGAGAUGAAUCACACACUGGAGGUGCCUAUUUGUCUCCAUUGACUAUGCAAGAAGCCUGUCCAACUAAAUAGGUUUAGACACCUAACUUUUAGGCACCUAAAAUCAGGUGAGAGGAAUCCCAUCCUCAUUGUUCUUCAUUCUUCAUUAGCAAAGGAGGCAGUGGAAGAGGCUUCCUGGAAAUGCCCUCCCAGAUUUGGACCUGGCCAAACCCCUCCAUCCUCUGUGUAUGGGAAUCUGCAAAGCCUCGCCUCUGUUCCUCCCCACGCAACUCCUACGGGCAUGGGGCGCUCCAGCCAUGCCCAGCUGGCAGAGAUGAAAGCGUGCUCCCUGCUGUGGUCUGAAUGAGACAACGGUCUUGUGGGAAAAGAUGUAAUAGUGGAACUGAAGUUGAACUGAAGUCUGUAUCAUAAUGUAUUCAGAGCAGGCGGGAGGGCA